rnacentral:rRNA from 1 species
GGGGAAGGGUAGCUUGCUACCUGACCUAGCGGCGGACGGGUGAGUAAUGCUUAGGAAUCUGCCUAUUAGUGGGGGACAACAUUCCGAAAGGAAUGCUAAUACCGCAUACGCCCUACGGGGGAAAGCAGGGGAUCUUCGGACCUUGUGCUAAUAGAUGAGCCUAAGUCAGAUUAGCUAGUUGGUGGGGUAAAGGCCUACCAAGGCGACGAUCUGUAGCGGGUCUGAGAGGAUGAUCCGCCACACUGGGACUGAGACACGGCCCAGACUCCUACGGGAGGCAGCAGUGGGGAAUAUUGGACAAUGGGCGAAAGCCUGAUCCAGCCAUGCCGCGUGUGUGAAGAAGGCCUUUUGGUUGUAAAGCACUUUAAGCGAGGAGGAGGCUACUGAGAUUAAUACUCUUGGAUAGUGGACGUUCUCGCAGAAUAAGCACCGGCUAACUCUGUGCCAGCAGCCCGCGGUAAUACAGAGGGUGCGAGCGUUAAUCGGAUUUCUGGGCGUAA